UACAGAGCCCUCAAGCGUUAUCCGGAUUCAUUGGGCGUAAAGCGUCCGCAGGUGGUUAUGUAAGUUGAUGGUCAAAUCUUCCGGCCUAACCGGGAAACUGCUAUCAAAACUACAUAACUAGAGACUGGGAGAGGCAAGCGGAACUGCAAGUGUAGUAGUAAAAUGCGUUGAUAUUUGCAGGAACACCAAAGGCGAAGGCAGCUUGCUAGAACAGUUCUGACACUCAGGGACGAAAGCGUGGGUAGCGAAUGGG
rnacentral:misc_RNA from 1 species